rnacentral:rRNA from 1 species
GACGAACGCUGGCGGCGUGCUUAACACAUGCAAGUCGAACGGAAAGGCCCUGCUUUUGUGGGGUGCUCGAGUGGCGAACGGGUGAGUAACACGUGAGUAACCUGCCCUUGACUUUGGGAUAACUUCAGGAAACUGGGGCUAAUACCGGAUAGGAGCUCCUGCUGCAUGGUGGGGGUUGGAAAGUUUCGGCGGUUGGGGAUGGACUCGCGGCUUAUCAGCUUGUUGGUGGGGUAGUGGCUUACCAAGGCUUUGACGGGUAGCCGGCCUGAGAGGGUGACCGGCCACACUGGGACUGAGAUACGGCCCAGACUCCUACGGGAGGCAGCAGUGGGGAAUAUUGCACAAUGGGCGGAAGCCUGAUGCAGCAACGCCGCGUGCGGGAUGACGGCCUUCGGGUUGUAAACCGCUUUCGCCUGUGACGAAGCGUGAGUGACGGUAAUGGGUAAAGAAGCGCCGGCUAACUACGUG